UUUUCCUUUUUAAAAGCCACUGUUAAAUGAUGUGUUUGUUUUUUAUAACAGCCACCAAGAAAAAGGCUGAAAAAAAAAAACAGGUGGUGGUCCUGCACCACCACAAUAUACCCCAGCAGAGGAGCUGGCCCUUGGAUUGAAUGAAAACCGAACCAUUGUGGAGGGCAUCCCUGGGGGCAGCUCUUCCUCAGACCCAAAGACAGGGACCAGUAGCAGCAACACCUUCAUUACUGUUUUGCAUAAUACACCAACACUUUUACCUGUUCCCAUGCAAGUGGUGGCUGAAGCAUAUGCAGACAGUGAAGAAACCCUCUCAGGAGACUGUCCUUUGGAGGAAGAACCUGUAAGUGCAUAAAUACCUUUACACUAAUUUGUAUAUAGCCUACUUGUGUACCUAUUCUUUCUGUCUGCAAUUUGAGUUG